rnacentral:lncRNA from 1 species
CCCUUUUCCCAAAUAGAUUUUUGGGCCCAAUAUUGUCCUAUUUUAUAUUAAAAAUACAAAACACACAAGAUCCAUCGUCCCUAAUUGAAAAGAACGCCCAGAACUUCCAGAAGCAAGCCAAACUUAGUCAACAUAAAUUAUGAAAAACAAAAUUAUAUAUUCCCUACUCUAAAAAUCCAUCAAUCAUUAACUACCGAAACAGCAUUAACAUUUUCACCC